GAGCCCGUGGUCUAGUGGUAGGGCGUCGCCUUGACUUGGCGAAGGUCGGGAGUUCGAUCCUCUCCGGGCUCA
rnacentral:tRNA from 1 species